CCCAGGGGUGCCAAAGGAGUCAUUCAAUAUUUGAAUCAUCUCCUCAGGCUGUGCAUCCUCGAACUUAUGACUAAGUUAAUCAUUCAUAGCUGCCCUCAUCAUGUAACGUACAAUCGUGUGAUCAUUGAGCCACUUCAUGUAAGUAUCUCUCGCAGCACGAGGAGCAUUGACUGUAGGUUCUUCAGGUGCCUGCUCCGUAAGGACAUACAAAAUUCUCUCAUGCUUCAACACGAUUUUCAACUUUUGAUACUAGCUAUCGAAGUUAGGUCUGGUGAGCUUGUCGUCGUCCAGC
rnacentral:lncRNA from 1 species